rnacentral:lncRNA from 1 species
UUUUUGAUGUAGUUUGCUCAGAGAGAAAAAUAAAGGCCUUCUUAAGCAGAGAUGGAGAGGAGUGGUGAGAGAGCCCAAGAGGUAAUUCACGCUCUCUUUUUUUUGUACAUUUUUUGAAUUAACCCUCCAAACACCAUUUCCAUUUCAAAGGAUUUCCUUUUGCUCGGCAGAGCUUUGUUAAACAAGAAUCCUCUCAUGGAUUUGUUGUUCAUGAUUUAAGGGUUGCCACCCAUUAUGGAUUUAUCAUCCAAGAGUUUUAUUUGAGGGUUGCCACCCAAUAUGGAUUCAUCAUCCAAGAAAAUGAUUUGAGGGUUGCCACCCAACAAGAAUUAAUUGACAGGAUCCAUAUACCUGUGAAAAUGUCUCCUCUUGUAUUUGUGCUCCUGCAAUUUUCCUUAUGCAACAGUUUUCUUCUUCUGUCGUGUUCUCCUCCCUCCC